CAAACAACAAAAUUCCUAAAUCUGAUGAAGCAAACAAAGCUCGAUCUCCCAUUUUUGUUGGUAGGUUUCUCAUUUGUUUACCUUUAUUCAGAUCUAAAUCUCGCCGCCGAUUAACGAUGAUGAGCAGAAGAGCUGCUGUUUCUGCAAUAAAUCUCAUUCAUGGAAGAGGAUUUCUCAAUCGGUGGUCGCAUAAAUCGGGUAUUCUUUCUCCUAUGUUCUCUCUCUUCUCUUCCGAGGCUUUUCAACCUAAGCAGCCCACAAUUGAUUUCAGUUGUGCUAAAGAAGUAGACGAUGUUAUUGAAUUGUUUCAAAAAAUAAAGAUUAUGCGGCCGGAGCCUUCUGUUCGCCUCUACAGCAAACUCAUGAGUGUUAGUGUAAAGAUUGAGCAGUAUUAUUUUGCCCUUCAUGUGUUCGAUGAAAUGCUUAGGAUGGGUGUUCCCGUUUGUGAUUACACAAUGAAUAUUGCUGUCAACUGUUGUUGUCUCUUGAAAGAUAUGUACUCUGCUUUUGCUGUAAUGGGAUUCUUUCUCAAGAGAGGUUACGAACCAGACGUCACGACUUUCAGCACUCUCAUAAAAGGGUUAUUCUUAGUUAAUAAGGAGGCUGAAGCUGUGAAAUUGUUCGAAAAGAUUCUGGAUUUAAAACUUUGCGAGCCAAAUCGUCUUAUGAAUCUGCAACUGAUUGAUGGGCUGUGCAAAGCUGGACAGGCCAUUGAAGCCCAAGAUUGGCUUCAUAGAUUAGAAAGUAGUGGGUGGAGUCCCGACGUUUACACUUAUAGUGCACUAAUUGAUGGAUUUUGGAAGGGUGGAAUGGUGGACAAUGCCUUCAAGGUUCUAUCCAAAAUGGUUGGGAAGGGUAUUUUACCUAACGUUGUCACUUAUAAUUCCAUGAUUAAUGCAUAUUGUAAGGAAGAAAAGAUGGAAUCGGCUGAGAAUAUGUUGGAAAUCAUGACGCAACAAAAUAUUUAUCCCACUGUCUCUACUUAUUCUUCGCUUAUUGAAGGGCUCUGCCUGAAGGGCGAAAUCGAAAGGGCGAAACAGUUACUUGAUUCCAUGGUAGAGAGGGGCCUUACACCCGAUAUUGUUAACUAUAACACCUUGCUAAAUGGAUAUUGCAAGAAAGGAAGCUUGGAUGAAGCUUGGCUUAUAUUUCUUGAAAUUCGCGAUAAAGGUCUCGAGCAUAAUGUGCGGACUUAUAAUACAUUAUUGGAUGGGUUAUCGAAGCGUGGGAUGGUUGAUGAAGCUUUGCUUUUGCUGUCCGAGAUGAUGGAGAAGGGCAUCUCGCCUAGUGUUGUCACGUGCAACAUAUUGAUAGAUCAAUAUUGCUCGCAGGGCGAGAUGGUUAGAGCCAGAGAGCUCUUCGCUUCAAUGGAAAGGACGGGGAUCAACCACAGUAUAGUCACCUAUAAUAUCUUGAUAAAGGGAUACUGCAAGACGGGAAACCUUGAUGAAGCUUUGCAUUUCUUUGAUGAAAUCUCGCGUGUAGGUCUCAAACGCUCAACCGUAUCAUACAACAUGAUGAUGCAUGGGCUAAUACGCCAAAGUAGUUUUUCAGAUGGGUGGAAGCUUUUCCAAGAUAUGGAAGCUCAGAAUCUACAUCCGAAUGUCUACACCUACAACAUCUUGUUGGAUGGCUUGUGUCGGAUAAGUCGGAUCGAUGAGGCGUUUGCGUUUUUGACGGUGAUGGAGGCAGAAGGCAUGAAACCUGAUAUUGUAACGUAUAAUGUUCUUAUCAACGGCUUGUGCAAGGGCAGAAGACUCGAUGAUGCUACGAGGCUCUUCAACCAUCUCCCUUCCAAGGGCUUAAAUCCUAGCGCAUAUACCUACACCAUGAUGCUCGACUCCCUCUACCGUGAAGGGCGCGAAGCAGAGGCAAGGAGGUUGAUGGUGGAGAUGGAAAGGAGCGGCUGCGUGCCUGGUGGCGUGACGUUCAACAUUAUUGUGUGCCAUCUGGUGAAGAACAAAAGGGUGCAUGAGGCAAUACCUCUCUUGGAGGAGAUGUGCAGGAGAGGACUUGAGGUUGAUUCAGAGAUCAUUUCUGCAUUGCUUGAGGAACUUAGAAUAGGAGAAGGUAAAGAUGCGAAAUUGCAAGAGAUUCUUAGGAAAGUUUGUGCUCAAAAUCGACAAGUGAAUGUUCUAUUUUGAGGAUUUUUACUCUGGUUCAGUUGUCAAGAAGUGACUCAUAGAAUGCUAAACGUGAUAUAACUCAGAAUGGAGUUCCACCGUCGUGUGGUCAUGCGGCGCAGUGUCUUGUGCUGGUUGAGCUUGAAUACUGCUGUGUCAAGGCAGUAAACCGGCGCAAUGGAAAGAUGAUGAAGAGAGUAUUUGUUCAUGGAAAGUUCCAGAAGCCUACCCUUAACUGAAUGCACCUCACUGACAAUGAAGUGCGGCUCAGUUGGUAAGACGAAGGAGAAAACGAGAACCUUAGUAACUGAGAAAUGAGAACCUUAGUAAAAAAAAUCCUUAUCGAACAUAAACUUUUUCUUUAUUUUCAAUCGUUGACUGCAGUUUGAUUCAUUCCAUGCCUAUCUAGCUAUCCGACUUCGAUGUAUUAUUACACCUUUUAAUAAUAAAUAUUCUUAUAUUUAUGUAA